GACGAACGCUGGCGGCGUGCUUAACACAUGCAAGUCGAACGGUAAGGCCCUUCGGGGUACACGAGUGGCGAACGGGUGAGUAACACGUGGGUGAUCUGCCCUGCACUUCGGGAUAAGCCUGGGAAACUGGGUCUCAUACCGGAUAGGACCACUGCCCUCAUGGGUGGGGGUGGAAAGCCUUUGCGGUGUGGGAUGGGCCCGCGGCCUGUCAGAUUGGUGGUGGGGUGAUGGCCUACCAAGGCGACGACGGGUAGCCGGCCCGAGAGGGUGACCGGCCACACCGGGACUGAGAUACGACCCAGACUCCUACGGGAGGCAGCAGUGGGGAAUGUUGCACAAUGGGCGCAAGCCUGAUGCAGCGACGCCGCGUGAGGGAUGACGGCCUUCGGGUUGUAAACCUCUUUCAGCACCGACGAAGCGCAAGUGACGGUAGGUGCAGAAGAAGGACCGGCCAACUACGUGCCAGCCGCCGCCGUAA
rnacentral:rRNA from 1 species